AUUGAACGCUGGCGGCAGGCCUAACACAUGCAAGUCGAGCGGAUGAAGGGAGCUUGCUCCUGGCUUCAGCGGCGGACGGGUGAGUAAUGCCUAGGAAUCUGCCUGGUAGUGGGGGAUAACGUCCGGAAACGGGCGCUAAUACCGCAUACGUCCUGAGGGAGAAAGUGGGGGAUCUUCGGACCUCACGCUAUCUGAUGAGCCUAGGUCGGAUUAGCUAGCUGGAGGGGUAAAGGCCUACGAAGGCGACGAUCCGUAACUGGUCUGAGAGGAUGAUCAGUCACACUGGAACUGAGACACGGUCCAGACUCCUACGGGAGGCAGCAGUGGGGAAUAUUGGACAAUGGGCGAAAGCCUGAUCCAGCCAUGCCGCGUGUGUGAAGAAGGUCUUCGGAUUGUAAAGCACUUUAAGUUGGGAGGAAGGGCAGUAAGUUAAUACCUUGCUGUUUUGACGUUACCAACAGAAUAAGCACCGGCUAACUUCGUG
rnacentral:rRNA from 1 species